rnacentral:rRNA from 1 species
UACGUAGGUGGCAAGCGUUGUCCGGAUUUACUGGGUGUAAAGGGCGUGCAGCCGGGAGUGCAAGUCAGAUGUGAGAUCCCGCGGCUCAACCGCGGAACUGCAUUUGAAACUGUGCUUCUUGAGUGCUGGAGAGGCAGACGGAAUUCCUAGUGUAGCGGUGAAAUGCGUAGAUAUUAGGAGGAACACCAGUGGCGAAGGCGGUCUGCUGGACAGUAACUGACGGUGAGGCGCGAAAGCGUGGGGAGCAAACAGG